GAUGAACGCUGGCGGCGUGCCUAAUACAUGCAAGUCGAGCGAACAGAUGAGGAGCUUGCUCCUCUGACGUUAGCGGCGGACGGGUGAGUAACACGUGGAUAACCUACCUAUACGACUGGGAUAACUUCGGGAAACCGGAGCUAAUACCGGAUAAUAUAUUGAACCGCAUGGUUCAAUAGUGAAAGACGGUUUUGCUUUCACUUAUAGAUUGAUCCGCGCCGCAUUAGCUAGUUGGUAAGGUAACGGCUUACCAAGGCAACGAUGCGUAGCCGACCUGAGAGGGUGAUCGGCCACACUGGAACUGAGACACGGUCCAGACUCCUACGGGAGGCAGCAGUAGGGAAUCUUCCGCAAUGGGCGAAAGCCUGACGGAGCAACGCCGCGUGAGUGAUGAAGGUCUUCGGAUCGUAAAACUCUGUUAUUAGGGAAGAACAAAUGUGUAAGUAACUAUGCACGUCUUGACGGUACCUAAUCAGAAAGCCACGGCUAACUACGUG
rnacentral:rRNA from 1 species